GACGAACGCUGGCGGCGUGCCUAAUACAUGCAAGUCGAACGAACCGCGACUAAGUGCUUGCACUAAGUCAAGGUGAGUGGCGAACGGGUGAGUAACACGUGGGUAACCUACCUCAUAUUGGGGGAUAACAGUGGGAAACAACUCCUAAUACCGCCAAGGACAUAGAAUCAAAUGAUCCAGUGCGGAAAGGUGGCGCAAGCUAUCGCUAUGAGUUGGACCCGCGGUGCAUUAGCUAGUUGGUAGGGUAAAGGCCUACCAAGGCGAUGAUGCAUAGCCGCCCUGUGAGGGUGAUCGGCCACAUUGGGACUGGGACACGGCCCAAACUACUACGGGAGGCAGCAGUAGGGAAUCUUCCGCAAUGGACGCAAGACUAACGGAGCAACGCCGAGUGAGUGAAGAAGGGCUUCGGAUCUUAAAGCGCUGUUGUUAGGGAAGAACAGCGCAUAGAGUACCUGCGAUGGGUGUGACGGUAUCUAACCAGAAAGCCACGGCUAACUACGUG
rnacentral:rRNA from 1 species